CGGAUUGUAGGCUGAAACUCGCCUACAUGAAGCUGGAGUUACUAGUAAUCGCAGAUCAGAAUGCUGCGGUGAAUGCGUUCCCGGGUCUUGUACACACCGCCCGUCACACCACGGAAGUUGGGGGCGCCCGAAGCCACUUAGCUAACCCAUUUGGGAAGCGAGUGUCGAAGGUGAAAUCAAUAACUGGGGUGAAGUCGUAACAAGGUAUC
rnacentral:rRNA from 1 species